AGGAAAGAAGGUCAAAAUUCACAGCCUAGUGCCUGUGCAGAGAGACAAAAGGCCCAGUGUUCUUCUCACAGGAGUGCAGGGGCGCCAGGCUCCAUCACCUUCCGUGACCUCUGAGCCGUGAUCUGGGAAGAGGAGGAGGCACCGUUUUCCCCGCCAGGAUUGCAGGGGUUCCAGGGAUCAAACUCGGAUCAUCGAGGCUUACAUAGCAAAUGCCAUCUCACUAGCUCUGGGCUUGCUCUUGGUAAAAAGGCAUCCAUCACAUACCAUCUCGGCCCAUACAGGAACUAAGUCAUUGGUAAUCCUCACCCCUUGAUGUGGUUAAUACUCCCAUUUUACAGAUGAGAAAGCUGAGGCUGUGAGAAAGGAACAAAACCCCAGAGGUAUACGGGCUGCCCAUAGCCAAGCCUGGACUCAAGUCCAGGUGAUCUGAUGCGGCCACGUAAUACUAUCUUAAGAGCAAGGUCCCUGAGCUGGGAAUGAAAUUCAGUUGGUAGAAUGUUUGCCCAGCAUGCAUGAAACCCUAGGUUCAGUGGUGCACAGAACCAGGCGUGGUAUUGCACAUCUGUAAUCCCAGCACCCUGGAGGUACAGGCAAGAGGGUCAGGAGCUCAAGGGCAUUCACGACACACUGAACAAGAGGUCAGAUUGGGCUA